CACAUCAUCAGCAAAUAUGGAUAUUUUCUAUUCAUAAACUGCUGAUUUAAUCCCAAAUAUUUUCUUAUUUUCCUAAUCAUUAUGACUAAUGGUUCAAUGGACAGAAUGUAUAAUAAUGGAGCCAAUGGGCCUCCUUGUCUUGUACCAUUGUUAAUUAAAAAUACAGCUGAUUCAAAUGAGGGAUUUAUCAUUUUUGCACAAGGUUCUGAAUAUAAUGACAUUAUUUUAUCCUUAAAAGGACCUUGUAAGACAAAUUUUGCCAAUACUCGGUCUACAAAUCUCCAGUAAAACAAGUCCUGAUAUAUACAUUUUUACGAGCAUCCCUAAAUCAAAUGAUAUGGAAACCCUGAUGGGGGAGAGGCUUGUCACCCUGUGUUAAAGGGACAAUCCAGAUCUUUAGCUUGCUGAAGUGCUUUAUUUCUGAAGAGUGUGUCCUAUUUUUCAUUUUACAAAUUGCAGUUAUCAACAGAAAUUGGCACUUUUGCAAAUGAACUUUGUUACACCCUGGCUGUCAAUCAGACAACCAUUCUUGUUACUUAAUGGUUUGGUUAUUUCAGUGGAGCUAAUCUCAAGAUGCAGCAAUUGCUCAGAGUACCUGCCUUGCAAAGAGUUCUUGAGCCGGGAAGUCUAUGAUUGGACAACCACGGAAAGUGUGGGCGGGGUUAGAAAGG